rnacentral:rRNA from 1 species
UACGUAGGUGGCGAGCGUUGUCCGGAAUUACUGGGUGUAAAGGGAGUGUAGGCGGGAAGGCAAGUCAGAAGUGAAAAUUAUGGGCUCAACCCAUAACCUGCUUUUGAAACUGUUUUUCUUGAGUGAAGCAGAGGCAAGCGGAAUUCCUAGUGUAGCGGUGAAAUGCGUAGAUAUUAGGAGGAACACCAGUGGCGAAGGCGGCUUGCUGGGCUUUUACUGACGCUGAGGCUCGAAAGCGUGGGGAGCAAACAGG